rnacentral:tRNA from 1 species
GGCUCCGUAGCUCAACUGAAUAGAGCAUCAGAUUUCGGCUCUGAGGGUUGGGGGUUUGAAUCCCUCCGGGGUCACCA